rnacentral:rRNA from 1 species
CCUACGGGUGGCAGCAGUGAGGAAUAUUGGUCAAUGGGCGCUAGCCUGAACCAGCCAAGUAGCGUGAAGGAUGACUGCCCUAUGGGUUGUAAACUUCUUUUAUAUGGGAAUAACGUGCAGUAUGUAUACUGCUUUUCAUGUACCUUAUGAAUAAGGCUCGGCUAACUCCGUGCCAGCAGCCGCGGUAAUACGGAGGAUCCGAGCGUUAUCCGGAUUUUUUGGGUUUAAAGGGAGCGUAGGCGGGGUGUUAAGGCAGUUGUGAAAGUUUGCGGCUCCACCGUAAAAUUGCAGUUGAAACUGGCAGCCUUGAGUACAGGAGAGGUAGGCGGAAUUCGGGGUGUAGCGGUGAAAUGCUUAGAUAUCACGAAGAACUCCGAUUGCGAAGGCAGCCUGCUGGACUGUAACUGACGCUGAUGCUCGAAAGUGUGGGUAUCAAACAGGAUUAGAUACCCCUGUAGUC